UACGGAGGGUGCGAGCGUUGUCCGGAAUCAUUGGGCGUAAAGGGCGCGUAGGUGGCGCGGUCAGUUCGUGGUGAAAGCGCGGGGCUCAACCCCGCGUCGGCCAUGAAUACUGCUGGGCUGGGGCACUGUAGAGGCAGGCGGAAUUCCGGGUGUAGCGGUGGAAUGCGUAGAGAUCCGGAAGAACACCGGUGGCGAAGGCAGCCCCCUGGGCUAACACUGACGCUGAGGCACGAAAGCGUGGGGAGCAAACAGG
rnacentral:rRNA from 1 species